CCCUUAGAUGUUCUGGGCCGCACGCGCGCUACACUGACGAUGGCAACGAGUUUUUCCUUCGCCGAAAGGUGUGGGUAAUCUUUUGAAACAUCGUCGUGCUGGGGAUAGAUCAUUGCAAUUUUUGAUCUUGAACGAGGAAUUCCUAGUAAGCGCGAGUCAUCAGCUCGCGUUGAUUACGUCCCUGCCCUUUGUACACACCGCCCGUCGCUACGACCGAUUGAAUGGUUUAGUGAGGACUCCUGAUUGGCGCCGCCGCCCCGGCAACGGAGCAGCGGACUGCCGAAAAGUUGUUCAAACUUGAUCAUUUAGAGGAAGUAAAAGUCGUAACA
rnacentral:rRNA from 1 species